CACCACCCAAGCUUCUAUUCCUCGACGCCGUUAGCCUUCCCAACGGAAGCUAGGGUCGUCUUCUCCUCCCCAUACAACUGGGUGACGUGUGAUUGGGGAUUUGAAGCAUUUGGGUUUUUUCAAUGAUUUUGAGCAUAUCGGAGGUGGAGAUUGUCGACCGAGACUCUUGGAUGUAUCAUGCAUGCAUAUAAGGUUCAAAAGACAUGUCUAUUCCUCCAACUGCUACACACUGUGUAUGUAUUGGUGCUAUUGUUUCCAUUGUUGUUAGAGAGGAAACCUUUUGGCUAUACUCAUUUACUUCAUAUGAUAAAGCUCUACUUGUUU